ACACCUGAAGAAUUGUCUCAACCUGUAACUUGAAGCUAGGUGAGCAAAGUUUCAGGUGUGU
rnacentral:pre_miRNA from 1 species